UACCUGAUUGAUUCUGUCAGCGCUAUAUGCUCAGUUAAAAGAUUAAGCCAUGCAUGUCGAGUUCAACUUUUCAAGUGAAACUGCGAACGGC
rnacentral:ncRNA from 1 species